CCUACGGGUGGCAGCAGUGAGGAAUAUUGGUCAAUGGACGCAAGUCUGAACCAGCCAUGCCGCGUGCAGGAAGACGGCUCUAUGAGUUGUAAACCGCUUUUGUACGAGGGUAAACGCAGAUACGUGUCUCUGUCUGAAAGUAUCGUACGAAUAAGGAUCGGCUAACUCCGUGCCAGCAGCCGCGGUAAUACGGAGGAUUCAAGCGUUAUCCGGAUUUAUUGGGUUUAAAGGGUGCGUAGGCGGUCGGAUAAGUUAGAGGUGAAAUCCCGAGGCUCAACUUCGGAAUUGCCUCUGAUACUGUUAGGCUAGAGAGUAGUUGAGGUAGGCGGAAUGUAUGGUGUAGCGGUGAAAUGCUUAGAGAUCAUACAGAACACCGAUUGCGAAGGCAGCUUACCAGGCUACUUCUGACGUUGAGGCACGAAAGCGUGGGGAGCAAACAGGAUUAGAUACCCGAGUAGUC
rnacentral:rRNA from 1 species